rnacentral:rRNA from 1 species
UACAGGGGGGGCAAGGCGUUGUUCGGAAUUACUGGGCGUAAAGGGCCAGUAGGCGGCCAACUAAGUCACACGUGAAAUCCCCAGGCUUAACCUGGGAACUGCGUGUGAUACUGGAUGGCUUGAAUUCGGGAGAGGGAUGCAGAAUUCCAGGUGUAGCGGUGAAAUGCGUAGAUAUCUGGAGGAAUACCGGUGGCGAAGGCGGUUCUCUGGGCCUUACCUGACGCUGAGGAGCGAAAGCGUGGGGAGCGAACAGG